AUUGGGUGUCAAAACCUAAAGGCAUAAUGAAAGUGAAGGAAACUUUGUUUUCGAGGGAGGAUGGGUUCUGUCACUUGUGACGGCCUCGCACUCCCGGGGCGUCUCUAUCUCAUUGCGAGAGGAGGCGCACCUAGAGCGUACACGCUGAUACCCGAAAGAUGGUGAACUAUGCCUGGCCAGGACGAAGCCAGGGGAAACCCUGGUGGAGGUCCGCAGCGAUUCUGACGUGCAAAUCGAUCGUCGGAGCUGGGUUUAGGGGCGAAAGACCAAUCGAACCAUCUAGUAGCUGGUUCCCUCUGAAGUUUCCCUCAGGAUAGCUUGCGCUCGGGAACCAACGAGUCUCAUCCGGUAGAGCGAAUGAUUAGAGGCCUUGGGGUCGAAACGACCUCAACCUAUUCUCAAACUCCAAAUAGAUGAGAACCCCGGCUUUCUUGAACUUUCUUGUGAAGCCGGGGCUCGGAUCAGAGUGCCAAGUGGGCCAAUUUUGG
rnacentral:rRNA from 1 species